UGUAACCCUGACUACUUUGCCUGCCAA
rnacentral:piRNA from 1 species